GACGAACGCUGGCGGCGUGCUUAACACAUGCCAGUCGAACGGAAAGGCCCUGCUUUUGUGGGGUGCUCGAGUGGCGAACGGGUGAGUAACACGUGAGUAACCUGCCCUUGACUUUGGGAUAACUUCAGGAAACUGGGGCUAAUACCGGAUAGGAGCUCCUGCUGCAUGGUGGGGGUUGGAAAGUUUCGGCGGUUGGGGAUGGACUCGCGGCUUAUCCGCUUGUUGGUGGGGUAGUGGCUUACCAAGGCUUUGACGGGUAGCCGGCCUGAGAGGGUGACCGGCCACAUUGGGACUGAGAUACGGCCCAGACUCCUACGGGAGGCAGCAGUGGGGAAUAUUGCACAAUGGGCGGAAGCCUGAUGCAGCAACGCCGCGUGCGUGAUGACGGCCUUCGGGUUGUAAACCGCUUUCGCCUGUGACGAAGCGUGAGUGACGGUAAUGGGUAAAGAAGCACCGGCUAACUACGUG
rnacentral:rRNA from 1 species